rnacentral:rRNA from 1 species
UACGUAGGUGGCAAGCGUUGUCCGGAUUUACUGGGCGUAAAGGGCUCGUAGGCGGCCAACUAAGUCAGACGUGAAAUCCCUCGGCUUAACCGGGGAACUGCGUCUGAUACUGGAUGGCUUGAGUUUGGGAGAGGGAUGCGGAAUUCCAGGUGUAGCGGUGAAAUGCGUAGAUAUCUGGAGGAAUACCGGUGGCGAAGGCGGCAUCCUGGACCGGCAUUGACGCUGAGGAGCGAAAGCCAGGGGAGCAAACGGG